UAUUUGGUUGUAAAGGUAGCUGUGAUCAGCAGGCAGAUUCCUCUUGGGAGCCAGAUCUGAUCCUAUGUCCCUCUGUGUUUCCCUUUUAUACAUUCCCAUACUUUGGACAGAGCAUUACCUUAAAAUUCUGGCCUUUUCUUCCAAUGGGAUAAAAAGCAUAGUUGGGGGCCCCGUGUGAUGUCCCAGAGCUAAAGGGGAAAUGAUGUCACUUUGGUGCUGAUGGCAACAAGAAUGUGAUUAAAGCGUCCUAAGUGGCCAUGAGGGCAAACGCACAGUUGGGAGGGAGAGAUGAGAGAGUAGCCCUUGAAUACUGAGUCAUUUCCCCAGAGACUCUAAGCAUAAUAUAUUACAUGUGUACUAUCUGAGGACAGACAACUAAAACUCCAGGUUCAGAGCUUUCUGGUCUACCGCGCCCAGGCAGCUCCGAGAAGGACACACCUUGCCGUCUAAUUAGAACCCCGAACAGUGACCCACCUUCCCAUGAUUCCCCUGGCAGGCUACAUGAGGACAGCUACUUUCCUGAUCCACCCGUGUGAUGGAUCUGCUCUUCCCCACACAGAAAUGGCAUGGAGCUAGGAGCAAGGCUGUGCGGCCUCGAGAUGGAUGCCCCCAUGAGUGUACUUACGGGGUCGGAGUCACCUUUGGGAAGAAUCUUCUAUCUGGUCCUUAUGUCCGUUUCAGCCGUAAGGAGCCUGCGUUUUGGAACACAAGAAUAAAACUCUGAAGCCAUCCCAUUUAACUGGUACUUUUCAAGAUGGCAGCCACAAGAUGAACAUUCAAGAGUAGAACCAUGCACCCUCUGCCUAGUGAUCGCAUGUGUCUGGGAUAAGUAGGUUUUUCCAACCCUUUAAGGCUGAAAGGGAUGGGGGACAGUGAGAAGACUGGUUACUAAGCACCUCAGUGUUCCACAGGUUUGAGCAAUGGGGAAUUGUUACUGGGCAAUGCUAGCCCACUGGAGAAGGGAAGUAGGUCUAAGCAUUCGUGAUGGUUUAGAUGAAAGGGAAGGUGAUUUAUGGCACAAGUUUCUCUUGUUAAUGAAGUUAAGAACCCUGCCUACAGUCUUCUCCCAUUGUAACCCUGGCUUUCCCUCCUGCCCUUUGGGGGCAUUUACAGACUCUCAGAGGGCAGGGGUCUUGGCACCCAUCUUUAUGUCUCUCUAGUACAAAUAUCUGAUAGCAUGGUAUAUACUUGGCAUCAUAAAAGUUUUAAUGAUGAACCACAGAUACAUACUUACCAACCAAAGGACCCUUUGGAUAAGAAGGGUAUAGAGGUUACAGAAGAGACCUGAGAUCUAACCACGUCUUCCCUAAUUUCCAUUUACUAAUUAAACACAUUUUUAUUAAGUCUCUAUCCCAUGUUAGAUACCAUGAUAGUUGCUAUGGGGGGAUCAUCGAUGUGGCCCCAUCAGUAGCUGGCAUAACUCUAGUGCCAAUAUAUGGGCCAACACCACUGUGAAAUAGAACUUCUUUCCUGUACAUCAAAAGAUAAGGAAAGAAAAAAAAGGAAAACAUGAACUUUGGCUCUGCCUGACUCAGGCUCAAUUCCACUUAAAAUCUUUUAUCAGAAACAUGUUACCAGACAUAUUAAUAAUCAGGUAUUUUGAGAAAACAGAGGCCCUAAAAGCAAUAAUUCUAUUGAAGGUAAUAGUACUUACCCAGAUGCCUUAAAACCACCUUCCUUCAUAGGUAGAAAGGAUAGGAAAUGUGUUUUCUUUUCUUUUUCUUUUUUUUUUUUUUUUGCAGUGUUCAGUGAUUCAUUAGUUGAGGAUAACACCCAGCGCUCAUCAUAGCAUGUGCCCUCCUGCCCUCCUACAUACCAUCAUCCUGUAACCCCCCUCCGCCCAGAUUGUUUCUCCCUUUUGAAACCUCCAGAUUGUUUCUCAGGGUCCACAGUCUCUCAAGGUUCAGAAUAUGAAAUGUUCUAUUGCUGACUUACGGUAAUAAUUUUUAAAAAAAAUUAAAGCCCCAGGUAGCAAG